rnacentral:tRNA from 1 species
AGCCGUUAAACAAAAAACUUGGUUUGAAACCAAGUUCAGGGCUUAGCUCAACGGCUA